rnacentral:rRNA from 1 species
GACGAACGCUGGCGGCGUGCUUAACACAUGCAAGUCGAACGGUAAGGCCCUUCGGGGUACACGAGUGGCGAACGGGUGAGUAACACGUGGGUGAUCUGCCCUGCACUUCGGGAUAAGCCUGGGAAACUGGGUCUAAUACCGGAUAGGACCACUGCCUGCAUGGGUGGUGGUGGAAAGCUUUUGCGGUGUGGGAUGGGCCCGCGGCCUAUCAGCUUGUUGGUGGGGUGAUGGCCUCGCAAGGCGACGACGGGUAGCCGGCCUGGAGGGGUGACCGGCGCCACUGGGACGGCGAUACGGCCCAGACUCCUACGGGAGGCAGCAGUGGGGAAUAUUGCGCAAGGGGCGCAAGCCUGAUGCAGCGACGCCGCGUGAGGGAUGACGGCCUUCGGGUUGUAAACCUCUUUCAGCACCGACGAAGCGCAAGUGACGGUAGGUGCAGAAGAAGGACCGGCCAACUACGUGCCAGCCGCCGCCGUAA